AAUGAACGCUGGCGGCAGGCCUAACACAUGCAAGUCGAACGGAUCCUUCGGGAUUAGUGGCGGACGGGUGAGUAACGCGUGGGAACAUACCCAAAGGUACGGAAUAGCCUCGGGAAACUGGGAGUAAUACCGUAUGUGCUCGAAAGAGGAAAGAUUUAUCUCCUUUGGAUUGGCCGGCGUUGGAUUAGGUAGAUGGUGGGGUAUUGGCCUACCAAGCCGACGUUCCAUAGCUGGUUUGAGAGGAUGAUCAGCCACACUGGGACUGAGACACGGCCCAGACUCCUACAGGGGGCAGCAGUGGGGAAUCUUAGACAAUGAGGGAAACCCUGGUCUAGCCAUGCCGCGUGAUCGAUGAAGGCCUUAGGGUUGUAAAGAUCUUUCAGGUGGGAAGAUAAUGACUGUACCACCAGAAGAAGCCCCGGCUAACUCCGUGCCAGCCGCCGCCGUAA
rnacentral:rRNA from 1 species